rnacentral:rRNA from 1 species
UACAGGGGGUGCAAACGUUGCUCGGAAUUAUUGGGCGUAAAGCGUGCGCAGGCGGUUCGUCGUGUCCGAUGUGAAAGCCCCGGGCUCAACCUGGGAAUGGCAUUGGAAACUGGCGGGCUUGAGUGUGGCAGAGGGGGGUGGAAUUCCGCGGUGUAGCAGUGAAAUGCGUAGAGAUGCGGAGGAACACCGAUGGCGAAGGCAGCCCCCUGGGCUAACACUGACGCUCAGGCACGAAAGCGUGGGGAGCAAACAGG